AACGAACGCUGGCGGCAUGCCUAACACAUGCAAGUCGAACGAGACCUUCGGGUCUAGUGGCGCACGGGUGCGUAACGCGUGGGAACCUGCCCUUAGGUUCGGAAUAACUCCCCGAAAGGGGUGCUAAUACCGGAUAAUGUCUUCGGACCAAAGAUUUAUCGCCUUUGGAUGGGCCCGCGUUGGAUUAGCUAGUUGGUAGGGUAAAAGCCUACCAAGGCGACGAUCCAUAGCUGGUCUGAGAGGAUGAUCAGCCACACUGGGACUGAGACACGGCCCAGACCCCGAGGGGGGGGAGCAGGGGGGAAUAAUGGACAAUGGGCGAAAGCCUAACCCCGCAAUGCCGGGGGAGUGAUGAAGGCCUUAGGGUUGUAAAGCUUUUUUACCCGGGAUGGUAAUGAACGUACCGGGAGAAUAAGCCCCGGCUAACUCCGU
rnacentral:rRNA from 1 species